UACGUAUGGUGCAAGCGUUAUCCGGAUUUACUGGGUGUAAAGGGAGCGCAGGCGGCACGGCAAGCCUGAUGUGAAAGCCCGCGGCCCAACCGCGGGACUGCAUUGGGAACUACCGGGCUGGAGUGCCGGAGAGGUAGGCGGAAUUCCUAGUGUAGCGGUGAAAUGCGUAGAUAUUAGGAGGAACACCAGUGGCGAAGGUGGCCUACUGGACGGUGACUGACGCUGAGGCUCGAAAGCGUGGGGAGCAAACAGG
rnacentral:rRNA from 1 species